rnacentral:misc_RNA from 1 species
AGUCAGAAAUAUUUACCAAAUUGCCUUUUAGCCAUUUUUCUUUUUCUAAAAAUUUAAAAUGGAAAUAAAAAUUUUACCCUUUGCAAUAGCUAUAUAACAUCUAGCUUUUACAGUCUGUUGAGAAGUUAAAAAAUUGAAAAUUUCCUAUAAAUACCCCACCAAACUCAAAUUUCCUAAUAACACCAACAUUUCUUUACUUCUCAUUUUUCUAAUAUCCCAACUCUCA